UACGUAGGGUGCGAGCGUUAAUCGGAAUUACUGGGCGUAAAGCGUGCGCAGGCGGUUAUGCAAGACAGAGGUGAAAUCCCCGGGCUUAACCUGGGAACUGCAUUUGUGACUGCAUCGCUGGAGUGCGGCAGAGGGGGAUGGAAUUCCGCGUGUAGCAGUGAAAUGCGUAGAUAUGCGGAGGAACACCGAUGGCGAAGGCAAUCCCCUGGGCCUGCACUGACGCUCAUGCACGAAAGCGUGGGGAGCAAACAGG
rnacentral:rRNA from 1 species